rnacentral:rRNA from 1 species
AUUGCCCCAGUAACGGCGAGUGAAGCGGCAAGAGCUCAAAUUUGAAAUCUGGCCUCCUCCGGGGGUCCGAGUUGUAAUUUGCAGAGGAUGCUUCGGGUGCGGCCCCCGUCUAAGUUCCUUGGAACAGGACGUCAGAGAGGGUGAGAAUCCCGUCUUGGGCGGGCGGCCCGCGCCCGUGUGAAGCUCCUUCGACGAGUCGAGUUGUUUGGGAAUGCAGCUCUAAGCGGGUGGUAAAUUUCAUCUAAAGCUAAAUAUUGGCCGGAGACCGAUAGCGCACAAGUAGAGUGAUCGAAAGGUUAAAAGCACCUUGAAAAGGGAGUUAAACAGCACGUGAAAUUGUUGAAAGGGAAGCGCUUGCGGCCAGACUCGGGGGCGGGGUUCAGCGGGCGCUCGUCGCCCGUGCACUCCCCGCGCCCCGGGCCAGCAUCAGUUUCGACGGUCGGUCAAAGGCCCCCGGAAUGUGUCGUCUCUAGGGACGUCUUAUAGCCGGGGGUGCAAUGCGGCCCGUCGGGACUGAGGAACGCGCUUCGGCUCGGAUGCUGGCGUAAUGGCCGUAAGCGGCCCGUCUUGAAACACGGACCAAGGAGUCUAACAUCCACGCGAGUGUUCGGGUGUCAAACCCGUGCGCGCAGUGAAAGCGAACGGAGGUGGGAGCCUUUGGGCGCACCAUCGACCGAUCCUGAAGUCUUCGGAUGGAUUUGAGUAGGAGCGUGGCCGUUGGGACCCGAAAGAUGGUGAACUAUGCCUGAAUAGGGUGAAGCCAGAGGAAACUCUGGUGGAGGCUCGCAGCGGUUCUGACGUGCAAAUCGAUCGUCAAAUUUGGGCAUAGGGGCGAAAGACUAAUCGAACCAUCUAGUAGCUGGUUCCUGCCGAAGU